rnacentral:rRNA from 1 species
UACGGGGGGAGCAAGCGUUGUUCGGAUUUACUGGGCGUAAAGAGCGUGUAGGCGGCUUGGUAGGUCCGCUGUGAAAACUCGAGGCUCAACCUCGAGAUGUCGGCGGAAACCACUUGGCUAGAGUCCGGAAGAGGAGAGUGGAAUUCCUGGUGUAGCGGUGAAAUGCGCAGAUAUCAGGAAGAACACCUAUGGCGAAGGCAGCUCUCUGGGACGGUACUGACGCUGAGACGCGAAAGCGUGGGGAGCGAACAGG